UUGCCAAGUUGUUUCCUGGUUUAUAUGGUCAGCCAUCUGUAUCUGUUGUUCCUGACCAGAAUGCAGCAGCUUCGUCCAGACAGAAACUGAAGAUCAGUGUUGUUUUCUCUGGAGGGCAGGCACCUGGGCACAAUGUCAUCUCUGGACUGUUCGAUUACUUGCAGGAGCGUGCUAAAGGAAGUACGUUUUACGGGUUCAAGGGUGGUCCAGCUGGUAUCAUGAAAUGCAAAUACGUUGAGUUGAAUGCUGAAUACAUUCACCCUUACAUAAACCAGUGGAAGAGACAAGAUUGAAACCCCUGAGCAGUUUAAACAAGUUGAAGAAACAGCAAAGAAGCUAGAUUUGGACGGAUUGGUAGUUAUCGGAGAGGAUGACUCCAACACCAAUGCUUGCCUCCUUGCUGAAAACUUCAGCGGGGACGCGGAAGCGGAAGCGUAAAGAAGCGUAGAAGCAAAAAUUUUAAAAUAUUUAGGAAACGGGUAC